CUUUCAGGGGAAGUUGAAUGACACACACGCAGAGAGAGAGAGACACAGACACUCUCUCACACACCCUCCCCACCUCGUCCUCCGCCCUCUCCCCACGUGACCAGCUCUCUUCGCCUUCCCGCUGUAGCCUAGGAAACAGGAGGCCCGCCUUGCCCUCGUCGGAUUUGGGAGGGCACGUGGCUCCGGACCAACCGGAGCGCGCGCCCCCCGAAAGUCGCGCGCGCGCCGCAGCGGCGGCCCAAUCGGCGGCCGGGGUUCUGUCGCUGCUGGGAGACGCGGUGGGAAAGAGGACUCUGACUGGCUGGCUGGCUGGCUUGGCGGGCGGGCUCGUUCCCCUCCCCCGCCCAACGGUCACUUUUCCCUUAGGCGGCCUCUGGGCCUGGCAGGGUCUCGUCGGCCGGCGGAAGGAGAGGGGUUUUCCCUCACGGGGGCUCUCAACCCUUCCCUACUGUCCUGUUUUCAAAAGCCCAGUCCUCUGUGCUGCGCCGACGACAAAGAGGCUUUUUUGUUCGUUUAUUUCUUACGAAGUUCCUUAUAACUUUAUUUGGCUAGCCCUGGUAACACCGAGGUUCAGUCCCCGUGCAUACGCCUGCUUUCACGGGGUUAGGCUGGAUGACCCCUGUGGGUCCCUUCAAACAUUAGGAUUCUGUGCCAGCUUCUUUUAGCAUAGGUCUCCAGGAAGGCAGCUCACGAUAUGAGAAUAAUAAAGCGCAGUGAGGUUUGGUACCUGCUAGAAGACAGAGAAUGGAGCACAGAGACAGGAUCUAGAGAUAUCUCCAAGUUUUGGAAUUGACCUCUGUUCAACUCCUGCUUAAGCACUGACAUAAUACAGUAUUGCUCUCAUUAUUGAGAACCGUUUCAGUCUGGCUUCAGGCCUGGUUUGGGCAGUGAAAUGACAUCCUGAA